rnacentral:rRNA from 1 species
UACGUAGGGGGCUAGCGUUGUCCGGAAUCAUUGGGCGUAAAGCGCGUGUAGGCGGUCCGGUAAGUCCGCUGUGAAAGUCGGGGGGCUCAACCCUCGGAUGCCGGUGGAUACUGUCGGGCUUGAGUACGGAAGAGGCGAGUGGAAUUCCUGGUGGUAGCGGUGAAAUGCGCAGAUAUCAGGAGGAACACCAAUUGCGAAGGCAGCUCGCUGGGACGUUACUGACGCUGAGACGCGAAAGCGUGGGGAGCAAACAGG